rnacentral:rRNA from 1 species
AGUACCGUGAGGGAAAGGCGAAAAGAACCCCGGCGAGGGGAGUGAAAAAGAACCUGAAACCGUGUACGUACAAGCAGUGGGAGCCUCUUAAUGGGGUGACUGCGUACCUUUUGUAUAAUGGGUCAGCGACUUAUAUUCUGUAGCAAGGUUAACCGAAUAGGGGAGCCGAAGGGAAACCGAGUCUUAACUGGGCGUUAAGUUGCAGGGUAUAGACCCGAAACCCGGUGAUCUAGCCAUGGGCAGGUUGAAGGUUGGGUAACACUAACUGGAGGACCGAACCGACUAAUGUUGAAAAAUUAGCGGAUGACUUGUGGCUGGGGGUGAAAGGCCAAUCAAACCGGGAGAUAGCUGGUUCUCCCCGAAAGCUAUUUAGGUAGCGCCUCGUGAAUUCAUCUCCGGGGGUAGAGCACUGUUUCGGCAAGGGGGUCAUCCCGACUUACCAACCCGAUGCAAACUGCGAAUACCGGAGAAUGUUAUCACGGGAGACACACGGCGGGUGCUAACGUCCGUCGUGAAGAGGGAAACAACCCAGACCGCCAGCUAAGGUCCCAAAGUCAUGGUUAAGUGGGAAACGAUGUGGGAAGGCCCAGACAGCCAGGAUGUUGGCUUAGAAGCAGCCAUCAUUUAAAGAAAGCGUAAUAGCUCACUGGUCGAGUCGGCCUGCGCGGAAGAUGUAACGGGGCUAAACCAUGCACCGAAGCUGCGGCAGCGACACUAUGUGUUGUUGGGUAGGGGAGCGUUCUGUAAGCCUGUGAAGGUGUACUGUGAGGUAUGCUGGAGGUAUCAGAAGUGCGAAUGCUGACAUAAGUAACGAUAAAGCGGGUGAAAAGCCCGCUCGCCGGAAGACCAAGGGUUCCUGUCCAACGUUAAUCGGGGCAGGGUGAGUCGACCCCUAAGGCGAGGCCGAAAGGCGUAGUCGAUGGGAAACAGGUUAAUAUUCCUGUACUUGGUGUUACUGCGAAGGGGGGACGGAGAAGGCUAUGUUGGCCGGGCGACGGUUGUCCCGGUUUAAGCGUGUAGGCUGGUUUUCCAGGCAAAUCCGGAAAACCAAGGCUGAGGCGUGAUGACGAGGCACUACGGUGCUGAAGCAACAAAUGCCCUGCUUCCAGGAAAAGCCUCUAAGCAUCAGGUAACAUCAAAUCGUACCCCAAACCGACACAGGUGGUCAGGUAGAGAAUACCAAGGCGCUUGAGAGAACUCGGGUGAAGGAACUAGGCAAAAUGGUGCCGUAACUUCGGGAGAAGGCACGCUGAUAUGUAGGUGAAGCGACUUGCUCGUGGAGCUGAAAUCAGUCGAAGAUACCAGCUGGCUGCAACUGUUUAUUAAAAACACAGCACUGUGCAAACACGAAAGUGGACGUAUACGGUGUGACGCCUGCCCGGUGCCGGAAGGUUAAUUGAUGGGGUUAGCGGUAACGCGAAGCUCUUGAUCGAAGCCCCGGUAAACGGCGGCCGUAACUAUAACGGUCCUAAGGUAGCGAAAUUCCUUGUCGGGUAAGUUCCGACCUGCACGAAUGGCGUAAUGAUGGCCAGGCUGUCUCCACCCGAGACUCAGUGAAAUUGAACUCGCUGUGAAGAUGCAGUGUACCCGCGGCAAGACGGAAAGACCCCGUGAACCUUUACUAUAGCUUGACACUGAACAUUGAGCCUUGAUGUGUAGGAUAGGUGGGAGGCUUUGAAGUGUGGACGCCAGUCUGCAUGGAGCCGACCUUGAAAUACCACCCUUUAAUGUUUGAUGUUCUAACGUGGGCCCCUUACCGGGGUUGCGGACAGUGUCUGGUGGGUAGUUUGACUGGGGCGGUCUCCUCCUAAAGAGUAACGGAGGAGCACGAAGGUUGGCUAAUCCUGGUCGGACAUCAGGAGGUUAGUGCAAUGGCAUAAGCCAGCUUGACUGCGAGCGUGACGGCGCGAGCAGGUGCGAAAGCAGGUCAUAGUGAUCCGGUGGUUCUGAAUGGAAGGGCCAUCGCUCAACGGAUAAAAGGUACUCCGGGGAUAACAGGCUGAUACCGCCCAAGAGUUCAUAUCGACGGCGGUGUUUGGCACCUCGAUGUCGGCUCAUCACAUCCUGGGGCUGAAGUAGGUCCCAAGGGUAUGGCUGUUCGCCAUUUAAAGUGGUACGCGAGCUGGGUUUAGAACGUCGUGAGACAGUUCGGUCCCUAUCUGCCGUGGGCGCUGGAGAACUGAGGGGGGCUGCUCCUAGUACGAGAGGACCGGAGUGGACGCAUCACUGGUGUUCGGGUUGUCAUGCCAAUGGCACUGCCCGGUAGCUAAAUGCGGAAGAGAUAAGUGCUGAAAGCAUCUAAGCACGAAACUUGCCCCGAGAUGAGUUCUCCCUGAGACUUAGAGUCUCCUGAAGGAACGUUGAAGACGACGACGUUGAUAGGCCGGGUGUGUAAGCGCAGCGAUGCGUUGAGCUAACCGGUACUAAUGAACCGUGAGGCUUAACCUUACAACGCCGAAG